rnacentral:rRNA from 1 species
GACGAACGCUGGCGGCGCGCUUAACACAUGUAAGUCGAGCGAGAACCAGCCCUUUGGGGCUGGGGAAAGCGGCGAACGGGUGAGUAACACGUGGGUAAUCUGCCCUCGGCACCGGAAUAGCCCGGGGAAACCCGGAUUAAUGCCGGAUAGCCUCACGAGCUCUUGGGCCCGUGAGAAAAGGUAGCUUCGGCCUCUGGCCGAGGAGGAGCCCACGGCGGAUUAGCUUGUUGGUGAGGUAACGGCUCACCAAGGCGGCGAUCCGUAGCUGGUCUGAGAGGACGAUCAGCCACACUGGGACUGAGACACGGCCCAGACUCCUACGGGAGGCAGCAGUGGGGAAUCUUGCGCAAUGGGCGAAAGCCUGACGCAGCGACGCCGCGUGCGGGAAGAAGGCCUGAGGGUUGUAAAGCACUUUAGUUGGGGAAGAGAGGGUGAGGUUUAAGAGACAUUACCUGAGACAUGAACCAAAGAAUAAGCACCGGCUAACUCCGUGCCAGCCGCCGCAGUAAAAC